CUGGGGCUGUGAAGAGGAGGCCUGCCCUAGCCUCUCGCCCGUGUCUUCUCUUCCCACACCCCUGUCCUCGGGGUGAAAGGACACAGCGGGAAAACCACCUGAAACCAACAGACACACAAGUGAGACUCAACAACAGACGCCUGCCUCGAAUACACAUUCUUGACGUUAGAGACAGAUGCAGCGGGCGGGGAAAGCCCGGGCUCCUAACUUUGUAUGUGUUGCCUGUCGGGUUAAGGUUAGGAGGGUUAAGAGCAGUUUAACUUACCUGGUGAUCCUGGAGUUAAUGCUGGCGACAAACCCGACGACCGCUACAUCCUUGCUGAGGGCGUCUCUACAGAUGUCGAUGCCCACGACCAUCAGUGACUUCAACUGUUAAAUCAAGUUAACUGUGGUUAAAUGAAAUAAACAUUUUAGUACCUCUCC
rnacentral:lncRNA from 1 species